CCUUCUACACAAACCCCCAGUGACCUUUUCUCUGCCUCUAACAAGGAGUGAAUGAUCAAUUCUACACAGAGGAAGAGUUGUGAUCCCUCCGUGUCCUUGAGAGGAUAUUCUCCUUGCCAGGACGUGAAUGCAGGAAGCUCUCUACACUCCCAACGAACCUUUUUAGCUCAUCUGCAUUAGGAGACUUCAGCAUUUUAAGCCGAGAGGGACUGCACUACCGGCUUGGAACUCCAGAGAGGACACAGAGACGGCUAGUGACGAGCAUGGUCAUGCCUACUGCAGCCGCCGUGGCUCCAGAGGAUUGAAACGUCUGAUGAGCCUCACAUGGAAUCGCAACCAGAAGGACAGAGAGGUGGGAAGGAAUCUGGGCUCUGUCUCACCACCUCUGGUGACAGGUCAGAAGGCCACUUCCAAGCUGACAAAACAACACACCUUGCACUUCACCAAAUGCAGGCGAAGCGGCUCUCAGGGGCCCUUCUUGUCCUAUCUGAGCACUUCACACUCUUUGAGGCAUUUGUCCUCGCAAGACCCCAGUGAAGUAGGGAGGUGCUAUUACCACGGGGAACUGAGGCAUGGAGAAGGGAAGCGACUUGCGCAAGGUCAUGCAGGAAGUCUGUGGCAGAAUCAGGACUUGAACCCAAGUCUUCCAAUGCCUAGGCUGAUGGCUUAACCCUGGGCCAUCCUUCCUCUCCAGCCUGAUAAAGCUGUAUGUAUUGUUCAAUAAACAAUAAGACUCAUUCGCUGAAGGAAUAAAAGUGCACAAAGAAAGC